rnacentral:rRNA from 1 species
AGAGUUUGAUCAUGGCUCAGGAUGAACGCUAGCGGCAGGCUUAAUACAUGCAAGUCGAGGGGUAACAUGGGUAGCAAUACCUGAUGACGACCGGCAAACGGGUGCGGAACACGUACGCAACCUUCCCAUAACUGGUGAAUAGCCCUCCGAAAGGAGGAUUAAUACACCGUAACAUAAUGAAAUGGCAUCAUUUUAUUAUUAUAGGCUUCGGCCGGUUUUGGAUGGGCGUGCGCCUGAUUAGGUAGUUGGCGGGGUAACGGCCCACCAAGCCUGCGAUCAGUAACUGGUGUGAGAGCACGACCAGUCACACGGGCACUGAGACACGGGCCCGACUCCUACGGGAGGCAGCAGUAAGGAAUAUUGGUCAAUGGACGAAAGUCUGAACCAGCCAUGCCGCGUGAAGGAUGAAGGCCCUCUGGGUUGUAAACUUCUUUUAUCUGGGACGAAAAAAGGGCAUUCUUGCUCACUUGACGGUACCAGAGGAAUAAGCACCGGCUAACUCCGUGCCAGCAGCCGCGGUAAUACGGAGGGUGCAAGCGUUAUCCGGAUUUACUGGGUUUAAAGGGUGCGUAGGUGGGUUGGUAAGUCAGUGGUGAAAUCUUCGAGCUUAACUCGGAAACUGCCAUUGAUACUAUCGAUCUUGAAUUAUCUGGAGGUAAGCGGAAUAUGUCAUGUAGCGGUGAAAUGCUUAGAUAUGACAUAGAACACCCAUUGCGAAGGCAGCUUACUACGGAUAUAUUGACACUGAGGCACGAAAGCGUGGGGAUCAAACAGGAUUAGAUACCCUAGUAGUCC